AAUGAACGCUGGCGGCAAGCUUAACACAUGCAAGUCGAACGAGAUCUUCGGAUCUAGUGGCGGACGGGUGCGUAACACGUGGGAAUCUGCCUUUAGGUAAGGAAUAACUCAGGGAAACUUGAGCUAACACCUUAUAAUGUCUUCGGACCAAAUAUUUAUAGCCUAAAGAUGAGCCCGCGGUAGAUUAGCUAGUUGGUGGGGUAAUGGCCUACCGAGGCGACGAUCUAUAGCUGGUCUUAGAGGAUGAUCAGCCACACUGGGACUGAGACACGGCCCAGACUCCUACGGGAGGCAGCAGUGGGGAAUAUUGGGCAAUGGGCGCAAGCCUGACCCAGCUAUGCCGCGUGAAUGAUGAAGGCCUUAGGGUUGUAAAGUUCUUUUAGGUGGGAAGAUGAUGACGGUACCACCAGAAAAAGCUCCGGCUAACUUCGUGCCAGCCGCCGCAGUAA
rnacentral:rRNA from 1 species